GUAUAAAAGGAGGUUAAGAAGAGAAUUACAUAAAUAGCGUAGAGAAAAUCUGAUUUUUUUAUAGAGGUGGAAUUUGUAUAAAAAGAUUUAGUUUUUUAUUUUCUCGUUUUUGGUGCCUCGAAAGUUUAAUAAGAGACCGGGAUUAGAUACCCCGUUAUUUAAUUCUGUAAACUUUGAUUAAUGGAGUUGGUUUACUUGGGUAUUACGGGUUGCUUGAAUAAAGGUUUAUGUCUAGCAGGAUGCUUAAAACCCAAAAAACUUGGCGGUGCCUUAUUUCUUUCCAGGGGAACCUGUCCUGUAAUCGAUGGUCCACGAUUUAACUUACCUUUUUUUGUAUGUUGAGGCUGCUUAAGGUGGCUGAUAUAACAGCUUGUAUACCGUCGUCGUCAGGUUACCUUUAAGAGUGGUAGAAGUUGCCAGAGGAGGGUGAAUAUUAUUAGAUUGAUAAAGUAAGUCAAGCGAGUAAUAUAUUUCUUUGAUGUCAGAUCAAGGUGCAGCUCAUAAGAAGGAAGAGAUGGGUUACAAUAAAUAUUUAAUAUACGAAUUUUGUGCUGUAAUGCGCAAUUGAAGGUGGACUUGGGAGUAAUAUGUUGAGUCUAGAAAUAAUGAGUACAUGUGAAUGAUGGUGCUAAGGUGCGUACACAU
rnacentral:rRNA from 1 species